GGCGGCGCGGCGGCGGCUGCGGCGGAGGCUGCGGGAGAAGCGGGCGUGGCGAUCGAGCGCGUCGGCGGUGGAGACGGGCCGUCCGGGGCGGCGGGUCUCGUCGUCGACGGCCUCGGCGCAGAGGCCGCAGAUCCAGCGGCCCAGGUAGCGCCCCCGCACCGCGGCGAUGUACGCCGACGUGCACUCCUCCGUGAGGCCGCAGCACCCGCACGCCGCCACCACCACCUCCUCCUCCUCCUCCUCCUCCUCCAGCGCGGGCUUCGUGGUCGACAUAUCGCCCCGCCCUCGAAACCAACCCUAGAGAGCCCUCGAAUCGAUCCACAACGACGAGAGAGGGUGGAGGGGGGGCGCGAGGGGAAGUGAUUUGGAUCCCGUGACGGUCACGAUGAGAUAUCGGUGGCCGUACGGUUACCGUUUGCUCGCCAUUAACGGCGUAGGAGGGGUCGUAACGGCCGCGGCGUUCGCGCGCGCGCGUCGCGGGAGUUUUGGGAAACGGACUUGAACCGCGCGCGACCGAUUUCUGAGGAAAGCGCGUUUUGUUUUUUCCGUUUUUCGUCCGCAGUCCGGAGUCCGGACCUGGUAUUUUUGCAUAUUAGUACCUUAGAAUCUUUAGAAUUUGGUGUUUGGCCUGGAAAGGCAAACCUGGUCUAUUUUCAUAAUAUGGGAUUUUUAUCAGGUUUGAGAAGGAUUUUUGUUUUUGAGCAGCUUAGUUUUUUUAUUUAUUAAUGAAUAUUUAAUCAAAGUAGAAGAUAUGGAGUUAAAUAUUUUCAAGCUUUUUUGAGCAAUGCUACUUGCACACAUUUAAAUAAAUAGAUAUAAAUCUUGUACUCGAGUCAUCNAAAUUUUAAUUUAAAAUUUAAUUUCAAAAUUCAAAAUUCAAAUUUUAAACUUUAAAUUUUAAAUUUUAAAAGUUGAGAUUUAAAAAUUCAAAUAUGAAUUUAAAAUUUUAAAAUUUAAAUUUAAUGUUAACUUUAUACUUUGAAUCUAAAAUAAAAAUAAAAAUUUGAAGUUUGAGUGCAAAAUCAGAAUCAGUUUUGGAGAAACAGUUUUUUUUCUGCUUCUGAUUCCGGAGCCUUCAAAAUUAGUUUUCUGAUAUGAAAAAUAGAAUCAGAUUUUCAUCAGUCAUUCUCAAACACUCUACUGAGCUCAGAAGUGAUUUUAAAAUCAUGAUCACUUUUGAGAAGCAAGCUAAGCCAAACAUCCCCUAAUUACAAAAAAUCCUCCUUACACGUUAGAUCAUAUUUUAUUUAUCUCUCUUUAUUAAGCGUCGUAGCAAUUAACUUUGUGCACUUUACCGCUAUUUCAAGCAAGUUCAAAAUUUCAAAAUAUAAUCGACGAAUUAGAUUAUAAAACUUUGCUAAAACUUGUCUAUGCAUCAUAUUCUUCCAUAUCUUAAUAUUUAUUAAAUUUACAUUUCAAAAAUGGAUAAAAAAAUCAAGUAAAAAAAGAUAUAUAUCUUAUUUUACUAAUAUUAUUAAAAUUGAUAAUUUACCGAAUAAUUUUAUUUAAUUAGUAUGAUUCUGCUACACGAAUUAUAUUUUUUUUUUUGAGAGAUAGGUAGCACGCUACCCGCUUCGUUUAUUUCAUUUUGAAAUAAACUUAGCUGGAAAUGUGAAUCAACUAGGAUUCGAAUUUGGGUUUCGAAUACCAACCACCAAAUUCUUUGCCACUUGCUCUACAGCUCUAGGGACGGUUGGUAAUUAUAACUAAUUUUAUUUGUCAAUUAUUUCUACUAGUAUAGUAACCCGUGCGAUGCGAUUAAUAGAUAAUUUAGAAAAAAAACGUCCAUAAAAAAAAAUAGUAAAUAGUGAUGAAAAAAACAAAAAUAACAACCGAAAAAAAAAAAAAAAAAAAUUGUCACGUGACAAACAACCAGUAACGAAGAAAAAUUUGUCACGUGACAACUUAAAAAAAAAUAAUGUAUAAACUGGCAUAGAAAAAGUAUUAUUGCUAAAUUUAAUAAUUAUUAUUCUAAAAUUUUAGACCUAUUUGAAAUAGUAUAUGAGGGGUAAUUGACGUAAUAAUUAAUAGGAGGUAAUUUUUCUAUGCCAGUUUAUACAUUAUUUUUUUGUUCUCCUCAGUUUUCGUCGACAAUUUGGUAAAGAGAACUCGGAUCAAAGUUCAAACACGGAAUCUCUAAACGCGAUAUUGAUGAGAGGAGAGUGUUAGGGUUUCCUCCUCGUACGCACCUCCCUCAACGUGCGACCGAGCUCCGGCGCCGCACCGAGGCUACGGCGGCGGGGGCGUCCUCGGCCGGCGCCGGCGAGUCGAGGCUGCGGCGGAGGACCCUGGCGACGGCGGCGACGAGGCUCUCCGGGGAGUCGGCGGCGCGGCGGCGGCUGCGGCGGAGGCUGCGGGGGCGGCGGGUCUCGUCGUCGACGGCCUCGGCGCAGAGGCCGCAGAUCCAGCGGCCCAGGUAGCGCCCCCGCACCGCGGCGAUGUACGCCGACGUGCACUCCUCCGUGAGGCCGCAGCACCCGCACGCCGCCACCACCACCUCCUCCUCCUCCUCCUCCUCCUCCUCCGGCGCGGGCUUCGUCGUCGACAUAUCGCCCCGCCCACGAAACCAACCCUAGAGAGCCCUCGAAUCGAUCCACAACGACGAGAGAGGGAAGUGAUUUGGAUCCCGUGACGGUCACGAUGAGAUAUCGGUGGCCGUACGGUUACCGUUUGCUCGCCAUUAACGGCGUAGGAGGGGUCGUAACGGCCGCGGCGUUCGCGCGCGCGCGUCGCGGGAGUUUUGGGAAACGGACUUGAACCGCGCGCGACCGAUUUCUGAGGAAAGCGCGUUUUGUUUUUUCCGUUUUUCGUCCGCAGUCCGGAGUCCGGACCUGGUAUUUUUGCAUAUUAGUACCUUAAAAUCUUUAGAAUUUGGUGUUUGUCCUGGAAAGGCAAACCUGGUCUUUUUACAUAAUAUGGGAUUUUUAUCAGGUUUGAGAAGGAUUUUUGUUUUUGAGCAGCUUAGUUGUUUAUUUAUUAAUGAAUAUUUAAUCAAAGUAGA
rnacentral:lncRNA from 1 species